rnacentral:rRNA from 1 species
AUUGAACGCUGGCGGCAGGCCUAACACAUGCAAGUCGAGCGGUUGAGGUAGCUUGCUACCGAUGCAGCGGCGGACGGGUGAGUAAUACAUGGGAAUCUGCCUGGUGGUGGGGGACAACGUUUCGAAAGGAACGCUAAUACCGCAUACGCCCUACGGGGGAAAGGGGGGAUCGCAAGACCUCUCGCUAUCAGAUGAGCCCA